CCCAGAAGGGAAGUUACCUGGAUUUCCCCUGAGAUAAACUGAAGUCCAUUGGGCUGGGCGCAGCUUGCUGACUUCUGUUCUCCUCCAGAACUAAAGGUCACAGAUAUGACCAAUACUUGUGGGAGGAUUGAUUACCGGUAUCUCUUGCUGACAUUUCUCAUUCUGGGAUAGUAGUUCAGGGAAAGAAUCUAAAAAAAUCUCAUAGGCCAUUUUAUUGAAUUCCACUCAGAAAGCAUUCCAGCAUUCAUGGACUCGAAGUAUGUCCUGGGAUGACAAUGAUUUAAAAAAGGGAGAAAUCAACAGUUCUUCCACAGAAUAGCAAAGGGGCUUCACUGCCUCUUGACAGAUAGCCCUGAAUGUCUGGCUGCCUGCUGGGCAUCUACAGAUGCAUGGGAAUGGCAAAACUUCAGAUGUCUACGACCUCAUCUUCAGAGACUUCACUCUGGUCGUUACGUCCAUCAAAUUCCUACAUACUUAAGGCCCAUGUCAAAAGCCGCCUCAUCAACGCAGCCUUCCAUGAUGUCCUCUCAUAGCUGUGAUCCUCUCCUCCUUUGAAAUCCAUGGGCCAGUAUAAUACUCCUUCUACUCUGCCUUGCACUGGACUCUUCUACCUCCAAUACCAUGUGGUGUUACAGGCACGGAAGACAGAUGGGCUCAUCCCCACUUACACACCUUAGCGGCCGUGUGCCGUGGGAAAGUCGUUGAAGGGCUGUCCGUCAGUUUACUCAUCUAAUAGUGGGAAGGACAAGCAUUCUUAUUUCUCAGGGUACAUGUGAGGACUCGUGGAAAUAACGUGAGCAAAGGGUCUAUUAUAGUACCUGGUACCAAAUACUGAUUUCCUAAAUAUCAGCACUUCCUCUCUAUCUUCUGUACCAGCGUGCCAGUUUCAUGAACACUGGGAUUGUUCAAUUCUUUUUUCAUCUGCUGAGGUUCUCACCAGCACACGAUCCUAAAACAUGGUGGGCUCCCCAAAAAUACUUGUUGGGUUAACUUUUAUUUAGUCAAGAUAACUUUUUUUUUUUUAAAGCUUAUUUAUUGUAUUUAAGUAAUCUCUACGGCCAAUGUAGGGCUUGAACGCAAGACCCUGAGACCAAGAGUCACAUACUUUUCUGACUGAAGUAACCAGGCACCAGAGUAAGAUAACUUUAACUGUUUAAAUAAAUGGUUAUAAUAAAUUGUCUUUAAAUUUUAGGCAACACUUACUGAUACUGAUAAGCUUUAUUUGAUUUUUGGGGGUAAAAUCUUAUCUCAGGGUAUCUCCGAACAUUUUCUUGGGCACAAAAAGAAUGAUACUGUUGGCAGUCUAUGCUGCCCACAUUGAUCAGUCCAGUUAAUGUCUAUAAAAGAGAAAAGAGGAGAUAAAUAGAUCAAAGUGAUUAGAAUAAAAUUACCUCCAUAACUAUUUGUUUACAUUAGAGAAAUCAUCACUGUGAGAUGGUUAUGUUAUUUAUCAGUGAUUUUCACCAAAUAAAAAUAGGUAAGGGUUUAAAACAUUAUAGUAAUGAAUUGAAAAUGUAAUGUUGAAGUUAAGACCUUACUGCAGAUUAAACAAUAGAUUUCGUUCAUGUUCUAUGCAGGGGGAAAAUUUGGUAUCUCUAAAAUUUAAUGUAAGAAACCAGGAACUAAUGAAGGUCUCUGCAAUGGUAUUUCCAAUGUAUUUUUCAAAUAGAGUCUGGCAUUGCAGCACAUUGAAUCAUGCUCAACUUUAAAAAUUUUACUGAAAAGAGAACUCUUUUGAACUCUUUGGCUUAUGCAUUUUUUUCUUAGAAACAUAGUGAUUUCAUUUUCCAUUAUCAUAUUUAAAUAACUUUUUUCCAAUCUUUUGUGCUUUAUAUAACACUCUGUAUAGAAAAUAGAUUUUUGGAAAAAAAAAAAAAGAAAAUAGAUUUUUGGGAUGACUUUGGCAGAAAUUUGGUCAUAUAUGUAACAAAUAAGUGACGCAGGAAAAAAAAGAUUCUAUUCACUCAACCAGACAGAAACAGAGUUGAAAUCUAACUGGUAUAACUGGAACUGUUAAAUGAUAAUCUGGAGGUGGGUUCAUCUCAGUUUCAAAAUAGUUCUGUUAAAUAAACAUUCAUGCUACAUGUUAAGAUUUAAAAUAAAUUACUAUACUAUACCCGGGCCAUUCUUUUCCAUUCUGGCAUUAGGACUUGACAUGGAUGACACCAUGGAGAAUAGAAAUCAACCAUCCAGACUUCGUCAUGUUUUCUCUGUUUAACCAGUUCAUUGAAAGUGGUGGGUGUCAGGGAGAUCACUG